GAUACUUAUUGACAAACUGUUUACAAAUGGAGUGAGUGAUUUAAUGACUUUUAAGUUUAGAAUUAUCUACAGAGCAUGUGGCCAGUGAAAAUUGAAUGUCAAUAAAGUGAGCAAUUCAUAUGAAAAAUAUUGACCAAAGUUCCAGUCUAAGAAAUUAAUUAAAGACUUUUGCAUUAGCUGCAGAUAGGGAACUGAAGUGUCUGGGUCGACUUUUUUGUUCUUAGUGGCUGAUAAAACAUGUUUUUCUAGCAUGGAGAGCCCUUAAAGAUUUCUUAGUCUAACGCACCUGAGAGAAAUAUUUGUAAAGUUGGCUUUAAGUGGAAAUUUAUAACAACAAGUGAUUGGUAACAAUCAGGGGAAAAAUUUUUCUUCUCCUGGUGGAUUGUUAUGGAGAUCUAUAGAAAAACAAAUAUUUUUUCUUUUAGGGUCUGUAAUAUUGUAUUGAAAAGACAUGGUGUAUUUGAAAAGAGAUAUGUUGCUCCUUCUCUUCAAAUGGUAAUAAGCAUUGGGAUAACAAGGAAUUUAUAAGAAAGUACCUGUGUUUUCACUUCUUUGUCGUUGCCAACAUGGAUAUAGCACUAGAUCAUUAAUUGAAGAAAAUAAAUCUGUUGUGGAACUAGCUAUUUUAAAAAAUGGACUGUUGGAUUUUUCACGUGUUUGUGUGAAGCAUCAGCGAAAUGCAAAUUUUGAAGGUUCUUUAAUCUCAAUCCAAUGAACAACAUUCAGAUUUUAAAAGGGAAAAUGUGAUAUAUUUGAAAUAAAUUGGCAUUUUGUCGAUUGGAGGCCAAGGGAGCAAAAGGACUCGAUUUGACAAAGACCAUGCUGUUUUUUGCCAUGUUCAGGUACCUGUGCCAAAAGCGGAGCACAAUGGUACAAGUCAGACAGAAAGUGUAAAAAAAAAAAAAAAAAAAAAACCAUGACAGGACAAGUGUGCAGUGUUUAGUACAAGUUUCACUUCUCUGUGUAUCCAUGUUUGAAGCUGUGAUCAAACAAGAUAUUACUGCCUUAUAUUUGAUGAAUGAAUGAUCCAUCUUCAAAUUAAUCAGUGAUAUGCUGGAUCUUGAUAAUGAUGUUAGCUUCCUGUCUCCUCCAUUGUGGCAGGAAAAGUAUGCAGUUCUUCCUCCAAUUCAGGAGGAGAUGAAUGGGGAUGAGGAAGGCGACCCAGACGAAGGCAGAGACCUGAUCUCCUGGGGAUGUGGAGAAUUUGGUCAGCACAGUCAUGGGCAUAAAGAGGACGUGGCUUUUUGUGACGGUCUUGUGAAGAAAUUUCCCACUGUACCAACCAAGUUGAUAGCCUGCGGAGCUAGCCAUACCAUUCUAGUUACCAAUGACAAUGAAAUAUAUUCCUGGGGAAAUGGUAACAGUGGACAACUUGGUACUAAUAUAAAGGAACUCCAGUGGCAGCCGGAACUGGUUCAUCUCUAUGAAAAUGACCCCGAGACUUUUCCCGAGGUAGCUGGUGUAGCCUGUGGAGGCAGACACUCCAUGGUCUGGUUGUCCAAUGGGAACGUGUUCAGCUUUGGCAACAACUUUCAUGCGCAACUCGGUUACGAUUACAGAUCAAAACAUUACAAAGAAAAUCAGGAAUUUCGCUUACCUGCUAUCAAUGGAGUGCAGGAAAAUCUCCAUAUUAACAGAAAGUCGCCCCAAAAUUGCAGGAAAAUAAUGGUGAAGCCAUAUCUUCUAAAGUUUCUUGUACACAAACCAGUCAUCCAAAUUUCUUGUGGAGAAAAGCAUUCAGUAUUCAGAUUUCAGGGAGGAACAAUUGCAUGUGUUGGGUCCAAUAAUAAUGGUCAGAUUGGGAGGGAAGAUCUGGAGGAGGCCACUAUUCCUGUCCCAAUAGAAAUUGCCAGACCGGUCACAUGUGUGGCCUCGGGAGCCAACCACAAUCUGGCCAUCACAGAUGAAGGAGAAGUGUACGUGUGGGGAUAUGGGAAAGGGUGCGGCAGCAAAAACAAAGAUAUUAUUUCGCCAGAGAAGGUACCCUUCAAAAGGAAGAGAGUGAUACAAGUAGCAGGAGGAGGAGCCCACAGCCUGGCCCUGACAGGAUCUGGGAGUGUUUAUGUCUGGGGUGGUGGUUAUGAUGGACAGCUAGGACUAGGCAACACUGUCACAUUUCAAAGUUCUCCAAAGAAACUAAGACAUUCCAAAUUGAAGAAUAAUGUUGUGCAGAUAGAAGCUGGGGAGAGCUACAGUGCUGCUCUUACAGAGAAUGGUGAUCUUUUUGUAUGGGGAAAGAACAGCCAUGUUAUUAGGCCUGACAAGCCUUCCAAUUCCAAGUUCUGGCUGCCAUUUCACAUCAACAAAGGGCUGAGACCCAUCCGAGAGGUGGUUUGUGGGGCCUGGCACGCUGCAGCCAUUGCUGGUCGUCCAGCACCACUUACACGGUUCCACACGUCAGAAGUCGCUGACCAAGAUUCCCCCAUGGCUUCUCCAGUAAAUGGUGCUCAUGAGGAUCAUGACACUUCUUCAGAGAGUGAGGGAGAUUUUUCAGAGUUACCCCAGAUAACGGUGAAAAAGGAGCCUACUGCUAACAAGGAAACAAGCAAGAUCAGCAUUGCUGACUUCUACUCGGGGCAAGACGUCUACUCCAAUGAAGGAGAGGCUCCUAGUCCAGCAUUUCUAAUGGAGGACAGCAGUGAUAAUCUGAAAGUAGAUACAACACAGAUGGACAAGCCAGAAAGUGCAAAAUCUCGUAUAGUGGUUCAAGUCCCCAGACCAUCCAACAACGUCGUGGAUGUGGCUACCUCGCCCAUUCCUUUUAGUGACUCGGACUCCGAGAGUCAAAGUGGUGCUAAGACACCACAUGUUCUUGCCAAACCAGUCAGUGCCAAAGUUAAGAAUGUGCCUCAGGUGAACUUGGAACCACUGCAGGUGGCUCCUAAUGAUCCACGAUUUGUGAACAGUAUUCAUUCUGGUAGCUUCAGAUCCGAUAGACCUCAUACAAAAGCGAGUGUUCAGCCCAAGUAUUUUACAACCCCGCCAGACAGAGAGAGGUCCAAUGUGUGCAAACAACCCUCAACCACUGUGAUACAGUUAAGCAAGUCGACUGCGGACAAUUUUGUGUUGCCAAGGGAGAACACUGGCUUUACUAGCAGACAAAUUGAUUUAACAGAUGUGGAGUAUGCAAGGGCAGUGAACUCAUCUAAAUCUAGUGAAAAACUAUACUGGAUAAAUAAAUUAAACGAGAGUCGUGAACGUGAAUUUCUUGGACGUAUGCAGAAUGGAAAUGCCCUGUUGCGUACUGUUACCCAAGAUUGUAAUGCUAGUCGAGGCGCAUCCAGGUCUGGUCGAAUGAGUGAUACUGCUGUAGUGAAUUUAUAUUGCUAUGAUAAUGUCUUGGAUGGAACUCCAGCGAAAUGGAAUCGCAGCAUAGAAAGCUCUCUUGGGGAUUAUGGACGCCAGUUUGGAAAUGGUGAUAUUCUGGAAGAAGCCAGAAGGGCUGCCAGACUACCUCCUAAAAAUAAUACUCCUAGUCGAAGCAUACCCAGCAAGAAGUCCUCAGAGGCCAAUUUUGUUUACCCACAGAAGGUAAGAUGUUGCUUUUUCAACUGGUGAAAAGGAAACCAGGGAUUGUGAAAUAAAAAGGGUCAAUAGUUGCAUGGAUUAUUUACGUAAACAUGUAUGUCAGCAUCAGGGCCUUUGGGUUGUUUAUGCAGUUUUGUGGAAAAUAUAGAAUAUUGGGCAUUAAUUGAUUUAUAUAAAGAUGGUUUGUACCUCUUGAAGUAUGUUGAGCACAAUCAUCAAAGUGUUUCUUGUGGUAGCAUGCAACACAGUAUAAAUUGUUUCAGAAAAAUAUGUCAAAACUUGCAUAAAGAAUAUCUGCACAUUUGUGUGUGUGUGAAUGAAAUGGGGCAAUUUAUAGUUUUACACAAGCAUAAAAAUCAUCUAUCAAACAUGUAUUUUAAGUCGGAGUUGACACAAAUAGCUGGUUAGUAAUUAACUUCAAAUCCUAUAAGUUGACAAUUUAAAUACUGCUUUCAAUUCCACCAGUUAGUCAGUAAAUUAUGCCUGAAUUAUAUGUAUAGUAUAUGCACAGGGAAAUCUAUCUGACUGUUCUUUUUUUUUUUAAAGAGUUCAUGUUUAUGAACAGAAAUACCCCACUAUAUACACAGAACUUGACAAGCGAUUGAUUUAGUUUAACAUAUCUGAUACUCCAUCUAUCAUGCAACACUUCUUGUAUACCUUAUAUGAAAAGAGCUUUUAAUCAAUUUCAUAAAAUAUUACAUAAUCUGUCAUUUUGUUUUGAGUUCGUCAACUGUUUAUCAUGCGAAUGUUGUCAGUGCCAUUUUAUGAAAUAAGGAUGCACAGUGUUUAUGGCCAUGAGCAGGUGUAAACUGUAACAGAAAGAUACUUAAACAAUUAUAUUCUUUCAUGUUCACAGGGAGUGUUUGUCAGAUUCUUGUUUUUACAUCAAUGAUAGGUUCUCACCAACAUAUGUACCUGCAGACUAUUUCUUUAGACCUUAGAAAUGUUUCUCUUGGGUUUCAUUAUUCAUAAGAAUUGUGAUUAAAAAUCAUUUUACCGCAAUAGAUCUGGAGGAAAAUGAAAAGGGUAAUUUUCUUUUCGAUUUCCAUCCCUUUUAAAUCCUUCUCUGGUUACAUCAUUAUGGUGCAUCAGUUCUAACUUGUGAUCAUGUGUGCUGUGUACAAGUUUCUUAGGAGAUCCAAAAUAAAUAAAUAAAAUAUAGAGAUAAGAUUAAAUCUUGCCUUGUUAUUUCCUUCAUGUCAUAAUUUGUUUCUUUCAAAAAUUGCUUUUCCCUUAUAUGUAAAUUGUAGCUAGUAGAUAAGGAAAUAUUUUUGACACAAAUGUAUGUCAAUGCCAUUUCCUUAUUUAGAGAAAAGGGUAAGUUUGAUUUGUUGAACAAGGAUCACUUUCUGAAUGAAGUUUGGAAAAAAGUUGAGAAUGAUCAGCUUUAUAUUUAAAGGGUCUAAUUAAUUACCAGUGGUUUUUAUAUAUUUCAGUGAAUUUUGCAAUGUUUAUUUUUUUUUAAACCAGUUUUCUGAAUUUAUUUGAAACAGAGGCCAGUAAUAUCUGGAUAUUUGUUGCGGCAGAAGCUUCAAAUUUCCCGCAACGACACAGUCAUUGCCCCAUUGAGAGCCCCUAAGAAAAA